rnacentral:tRNA from 1 species
GCCCAGGUGGUGGAACUGGUAGACACGCUAUCUUGAGGGGGUAGUGACGCAAGUCGUGUGGGUUCGAGUCCCACCCUGGGCACCA